GAUGAACGCUAGCUACAGGCUUAACACAUGCAAGUCGAGGGGCAGCAUGAUUGAAGCUUGCUUCAAUCGAUGGCGACCGGCGCACGGGUGAGUAACACGUAUCCAACCUGCCGAUAACUCGGGGAUAGCCUUUCGAAAGAAAGAUUAAUACCCGAUAGCAUAGUUUUUCCGCAUGGUUUCACUAUUAAAGAAUUUCGGUUAUCGAUGGGGAUGCGUUCCAUUAGAUAGUUGGCGGGGUAACGGCCCACCAAGUCAACGAUGGAUAGGGGUUCUGAGAGGAAGGUCCCCCACAUUGGAACUGAGACACGGUCCAAACUCCUACGGGAGGCAGCAGUGAGGAAUAUUGGUCAAUGGACGAGAGUCUGAACCAGCCAAGUAGCGUGAAGGAUGACUGCCCUAUGGGUUGUAAACUUCUUUUAUACGGGAAUAAAGUGGAGUAUGCAUACUCCUUUGUAUGUACCGUAUGAAUAAGGAUCGGCUAACUCCGUGCCAGCAGCCGCGGUAAUACGGAGGAUCCGAGCGUUAUCCGGAUUUAUUGGGUUUAAAGGGAGCGUAGGCGGGUGCUUAAGUCAGUUGUGAAAGUUUGCGGCUCAACCGUAAAAUUGCAGUUGAUACUGGGCGCCUUGAGUGCAGCAUAGGUAGGCGGAAUUCGUGGUGUAGCGGUGAAAUGCUUAGAUAUCACGAAGAACUCCGAUUGCGAAGGCAGCUUACUGGACUGUAACUGACGCUGAUGCUCGAAAGUGUGGGUAUCAAACAGG
rnacentral:rRNA from 1 species